CCCGCCCCCGCUGCGCGCGUUUCUGGCCCUGCCAGUGUCUCCGCCGGUUGAAAGCGCGUGUCUGCGUCGGGUUCUGUUGGAGUGCGUUCGGUGCGCCGUGGGUCCGCGCUGCUUCCACCCAACUUCCUGUUAGUUUCUCUCCUGUCACAAUGGCAUGAUCUCGGCUCACUGCGACCUCUGCUUCCUGGGUUCAAGGAUUCUCCUGCCUCAGCCUCCCAAGUAGCUGGGAUUACAGGUUACAUUAGUUAUACACUCUGGAGGUGACUUGACCUGUCAUUGUGAACAAUUAUUGCUCUUGGACGACCCAGGACAUAGGCCAGCCAGUACGUACCCCAGUGUGUUGGAGAAUCGCGCUCGGCUUCUUCCUCUGUGCUGAGUCAUGAAAGUUGCCGGAGCAGGUGCAGUUACACAACCUCCAGGUAUGAUCCUGUUUAAGGACUGGAUUUAGGAUAACUACUUAGAGGUUAAAAGUCACAAGGGUGUAUGGAUGAGGCUGGAGUGAUCUGGGACCAAAGACAUCUAGGCUUGCUGUCAAGGCUUCUGAUCAACAUGAGAUGACCGCCGUGUGGUAAACUGAUGAACCCUGACCCUGAUCAACAUGAGAUGACCGCCGUGUGGUAAACUGAUGAACCCCGACCCUGAUGAACGUGAGAUGACCGCCGUGUGGUAAACUGAUGAACCCCGACCCUGAUGAACGUGAGAUGACCGCCGUGUGGUAAACUGAUGAACCCCGACCCUGAUGAACGUGAGAUGACCGCCGUGUGGUAAACUGAUGAACCCCGACCCUGAUGAACGUGAGAUGACCGCCGUGUGGUAAACUGAUGAACCCCGACCCUGAUCAACGUGAGAUGACCGCCGUGUGGUAAACUGAUGAACCCCGACCCUGAUGAACAUGAGAUGACCGCCGUGUGGUAAACUGAUGAACCCCGACCCUGAUCAACAUGAGAUGACCGCCGUGUGGUAAACUGAUGAACCCCGACCCUGAUCAACAUGAGAUGACUGCCGUGUGGUAAACUGAUGAACCCUGACCCAUUAGGCUUUGGCUACAGAAUGUGGAAAUAAGUUGUGUUACUACAUGUGUGUAAUCCUAGGGUGCAGGACACCGGCCGGGAGGUUCCAUAGAGUGAUGGGUUCUGCAGGUAACUCAUCCUCUAGUCCUCUGUAAGCUCCUAGAAGGAAGAAAUUAUGUCCUUUAGACUAAUAAAAUUCCUCCAAACCAAAUACAGCACCUACUGUGAAGACACAAAGAUACUUUUAGAAUAGUAAAAACUUUAUCCAUUGAGAAAUUCCUUAAUGAAACAGUAUCCAAGAAGUCAUUUGCCAGCAGAUUUCUUAGAGGUGCGAUAAAGAAGAGGACAUUGCCAGUCGUCACAGCAGCUGCAAUAGCUCCUCUCUAUUGUUAAACAGUGGGAUAUCUUGUGCAGGUUUUCAGUUGACAAUCAAUUUUAAAGAUUAGUUUCGGUCCCCAUCAAUCAAUUAUUUAUUAACCCAUCAAUAAAAAUUUAAAUGCUCUGUGAGGUACAAUAGCUAUUAAAAGAGACAGAGGCACUUUCUGUGUCCAGAGGGGCUUUUAGUCUGCUCUGGAAAGCAAGAUGCGUGCAGAUGAGUGACGCAGUGCAUCGUGUGGAUGCAAAGGGAGGGACUCACAUGGGAACCAGAGGAGCUACGAAGGGAGGCAGUGGGGACUGGUGGGUCGAGACCUGGAAAUAACACAUGAAUAGGCAACAAAGGUUUCCUUUCCUCUUCCAUGCACUUCAGUCCUUGAAAAACGUCUUACCACGGAAUUCCACAGCGUACCAAGCGAUUCCACAGCUUGAUGGCACACUCUCCUUUCUCAGCAUUCUUGAAAAUGGCGUGUGAGCCAAGCCAUCUUACUGAGAAAUUACCUUAAACCAUUUGAUGAACCAAAAAUAUUUUGUAAUACCCAUCUCCGACAUUAGGUAGGCAAAUCACACAGAAACACCGAGGUCUUCUGAGUCAUAUUUAUCUGAAAAAUCACAGCUUGGGUGCAUGUGAAGCCAGAGGAGCACUCCUGGGGCCUGCGGUGCCAUCACUCAGCUCCCCUGGGCUUCACAUGGCCAUGGAGCACCCAGCAAGUGUAGGCUCUGAGCCUUCAGGGAGGGGCGGCAUCAGCCAGCACCAUCGUCUCCUGGGUCUUGUGCCUCUUCCUUGGUUGCGGUGUUGUCAGGGCCAGAAUUGGGCAAUUCCGGGUGACAUCCAGGUGUGGCUGCUGACACGGAGCACAGGACACCCUGCUCCUGUGGUUUGCAGCCCCGGCCUUCUCUUCGAGGACGCCUCUGCUCUUCUGCCUCACACUCGGAUUGGACCUUCUUCAGCACAGCCAGUGGCCGAGGCUUCCUCCCUGGGGCUCAGUGGAGCAGGACAGAUGCUGCAUCCAAACUCUUCCAUUGGGUUCCAGUCUGUUCCAGUCAUGCCCUUGAGCCUCUAAAGCUCCUAGGUGAGAGACGUAGCAGCUGACAGCACUUCCCACUUGAUUUGGGUGGACUCCAGCCUCCCCAGCAACAAUAAGAGAUCAAAAGCAUCGUUGAGGAAGCAGCUUGCUGAAACGCUGAGUGCCCGCCACUCUCAGGUCAGGUGGGACCGGCAGGCCAGCAUGAGUUCCUGAACACUUGGUUCUCAAUACUGGCCACAGCCACACUGUAAGGGGAAACAAGAGGGCACUGUAUGCAAACAUCUCUUGAACUCUGGAGUCUGCUCACCUUCCUGCCUCAAGCCCCUCUCCCACGUGGUCCAGUCACCAUUCUCCACAGAGACUACCCUAAAACCCAGCGACUCUCGUGUGCCUGCAGAAUGGCACAGCCCGUUCUCAUAGCAGCACUCCUGUUUAAUCAGAGGGAUGUUAACGACCAAGUCAUAUUUGCUCGAUUUGUGUUCAACAUAUUUCAUUUGUACCGAUAAAACUUAAAAAUAUCCCCACACAUGCAUUGCCUAUUAAAGAGUAUCUUCCAGGUACACCUCCCUUACACAUCAGUUAACUUGAUAAUUUCUUCCCAUUCUUGUGCAAUAAAUUUCCUUCCUGAUCAGCUCUGUCCAGCAGCAACAAUAAUCCACGUAGAGACAUGCAAACUAAAAGUCCGUUAGUGGAGGCACGAAGCUGAUGAGGCUUGGAAAAAAAUGACCGAUUUGAUUAAAAUUAGGACCCAUGGGAGUGGAGCUCUGCCUAUUUUAGAGGCAAAGUAAAUGCCUGGGAGUCCAAUCACCGACAUUCUGUUUGAGGUUUCUAAUCACAAGGAAGAUGGAGAAAAUGCAGAACAAGUGGUCAAGAACAGGGAGAUAAUAAAUAGAAUAUUUAUGGGCUGAGGAAAACAAUUACCAGGGGAAAGCCCAAGAAGCAAAGAUGAACAGAGAACGUGCUGACUGCGCUCGUUUGGAAAGGCCUCAUGGCCAAAGGAGGAGAGGCAUUAUGAGGAGCAGUGACCGAGUGGGCAGGACCCCCGGGGAUCAGGAAAGGUGCACGGGGGGAAAUGAGAGGCCUGAGCGGCUUCCCAGCGAAGGUUUUUGAAGCACGGUUUGAUUUUCUCUCUCCCCCUCACCAUCCCCAAAUUUUAGUUGUGACUAUCUCCAGGUACAUGGCUUGCGACAGGCGGUGUAUAAAAACUAAUGUCAGUUUAAUUUUAAAACCUUAGCCAUUUUCUGGAACUUAAAUAUCAAAGAGAAAAUGUCCACAUAUGAUGUUAAUUGA
ensembl:lncRNA LINC01128 long intergenic non-protein coding RNA 1128